CAAGACUUUGAUGAGAUUGUUCACUUUUGUCUAUGUAAAAUCCCAAAUCCUUGAGAAUAAAAAAGGGGGAGGUUUAAGUCACUUGUUGCAAUGCCCUUUUUAAUAGAGGCAAUAAAUCUAAAGGCCAUAAAUUUAGAGUGACUUACAGAAGAUCGAACUUUGGAGUGUGGCAGAGUAAGGGAUGGAAACCGGGCCCUCCAGUUCACUAUCAGUAGCUUUUGCACUGGUCUGCCCUUCCUAAAUUAAGUAUGCACUUCAAUUUGAUGAGUGGAAACAGUCUAUCUGGGCAGUAACCAGGGAGCUUUGUGCCUAGUAGAUUGCUUCUGUUCUGCACUUCUUUGGUUUCCCACCUCAAUGUAAAAAAUAGCUAGCAAUGAAGUCCAGAAGUUGUCAAUGGUUCAUCCCCAGAAGAAUGCAUAAUGUCCAAAGUUGUAUGUGUAUGAUGUCUUCAAUGGUAUUAAGUUAUUUCAAAUUCUUAGUUCACCUACAUAAAUCAUUUCUAACAAGCAUCUUCUUAACCAACUUUAUGCACAGUGUAUGUUUGUAAGUGCUUCUGCACGAAUGUUUAUACAUGACUGUUUCCAUAGUACUUAUGUUUUUAAAAAUAUUCAGUCAUUUCCUACUAUAAUCCUCAUGUAUCCAUGUAACUGACUCAAAAAUACUUCAGCCACAGAAAGCUAAAACUGAGCAAAUCUCAUUCUUCUUUUCCAUCCCCUUUGCAUGUGGCUGGCAUUUAGUAAUGAUUAAUAAUAUGGCCAGCUGAAUAACAGAGGUUUGAGACACAAUUCUUUCUCAAAGGAGUCAGCUAAGCUGGGUCUACUUAUGGACAAACAUCUAAAUGUGUGGAAGUAUCUGAUAUUUGACAAUGGUAAAUUUCCACUUAGCUAGCUAGCAUUGUCAGACUUCAAUCUCCUCAUGGCUCUGGCCGUCCUGUUUUAAGCAUGAUAAUUGUUGGCCACAUCUCACAUAGUUCUCAUUGAGUGAGUUCAUAAAUAAACAGGGUUUUUUUUUUUUUUUAAAGAGCAGCCAAGCACAAAGUGUGACUUUGUUGACAUUUUAUGUGACUUUGUCAUAUGUUCCUAACCCCCAAUAAAAGCAAUGUUGCAUCA
rnacentral:lncRNA from 1 species